GAUGAACGCUGGCGGCGUGCCUAAUACAUGCAAGUCGAACGAGAUCUUCGGAUCUAGUGGCGAACGGGUGAGUAACGCGGUGGUACCUACCCUGAAGUGGGGAAUAACUGGCCGAAAGGUCGGCUAAUACCGCAUAAUACCGCAAGGUUAAAGUCGUAAGACGCUUCGGGAGGGGCCUGCGUCCCAUUAGCUAGUUGGUGAGGUAACUGCUCACCAAGGCGACGAUGGGUAGCUGGAUCGAGAGGUUGACCAGCCACGCUGGGACUGAGAUACGGCCCGGACUCCUACGGGAGGCAGCAGUAAGGAAUCUUCCACAAUGGGCGAAAGCCUGAUGGAGCAACGCCGCGUGCAGGAUGACGGUCUUCGGAUUGUAAACUGCUUUUAUAUGGGAAGAUUAUGACGGUACCAUAUGAAUAAGCACCGGCUAACUACGUGCCAGCAGCCGCAGUAA
rnacentral:rRNA from 1 species